GAUGACAAUCCACGUUGGAUCCAGAGCAGACACAGCGACUGGGGCACGCGUGGGUGCAAAAUCCAUGGAAAAGAAGGGACUGAAGCUGGACUCCAUCAAUUGGUCAGAUCCUGGUGUAACUUCCAGGGAUCUGUCUUCUCCUGAUUUGAUGUUUGCAAACAAAGGUUUCCAAUGAAUCUUUGAAGGACCUGCGUGAUUCCAAACCGCACGAUUAACCACACUGACCACAGCAUGAGGAAC